rnacentral:rRNA from 1 species
UGCGAACUCCUACGGGAGGCAGCAGUAGGGAAUUUUCGGCAAUGGGGGAAACCCUGACCGAGCAACGCCGCGUGAGUGAUGACGGCCUUCGGGUUGUAAAGCUCUGUUGUAAGGGAAGAACGGUAGAUAGAGAAUAUCUAAGUGACGGUACCUUACCAGAAAGCCACGGCUAACUACGUGCCAGCAGCCGCGGUAAUACGUAGGUGGCGAGCGUUAUCCGGAAUUAUUGGGCGUAAAGGGUGCGUAGGCGGCCUGUUAAGUAAGUGGUUAAAUUGUUGGGCUCAACCCAAUCCAGCCACUUAAACUGGCAGGCUAGAGUAUUGGAGAGGCAAGUGGAAUUCCAUGUGUAGCGGUAAAAUGCGUAGAUAUAUGGAGGAACACCAGUGGCGAAGGCGGCUUGCUAGCCAAAGACUGACGCUCAUGCACGAAAGCGUGGGGAGCAAAUAGGAUUAGAUACCCUUGUAGUCCU